rnacentral:lncRNA from 1 species
UUGGUAAUAUAUGAUUUUAAAAAAGGAUAAAAUAAAAAUUCCGAUACAAAAAUAAUAUAUAGAAAGGAUAAAAUAUCGGAACCGAUGAAAAAAGUCAAAAGGUGUCGACAAAAAAAAAAAGUCAAAAGGUUAACGACAAGAUUUAUAAAAAAAAAUUUCAAAAGGCAAAAAUGAAAAAUGAUUUUUUUUAUUUACUGACAAAACGAACCUUCCUUCAGAACUAGAGUCUCCUUCCUACUCUCUUCAAAACGAACUCGCCGUAGUAUUCGAACUACUCGCCGUCGUUUUAUCAGUCUCCGGCGAUAACGGCGGAGGAACACCAUGCUUCAACAAUCCAACAUCAUCACCACCGUUCACAUCAAUCUCCACAACCACAUCCUUCGAAUCACUUAUCCCAUCCUUCUGAAUCACUCUCAAAACCUCAACGAUCUCAUCCAUCGAUGGCCGUACGUCUCUCUCCUGUUGCAAACAUCGGAAUGCUAAUUCAGCAACCGACGACAUCAUCUUCUUCACCGAAGGAUCUCUCGCGAAUCCGAGUGAUAGAUCCGCGAGCUCAUGUACGGCGUCGUUUUGGAUUUUCGAAAUCGCCAUGUUGGCGAGGUUAAUAUCGUGGCGGUGUCUGGUGAUAUCAACAGCUUCUUUCGAUGAGAUUAGUUCGGAGAGUACGACUCCGAAGCUGUAAACGUCACUCUUCUCGUUUAAUCGGUAACAUUGGUAAUACUCAGGAUCUACAUAUCCUGGAGUACCUUGUGGAGCAGUGGAGAUGUGAGUUUGAUCCAUCGGAAACAACCGUGAGAGUCCGAAAUCAGCUACUUUGACUUGUAUGUGUUACCUGAGGCGUGGAGAUAGGACAAGGCGCUAGCGGUUUCGAUGGCUAUUUGGAGUCGAGCAGGCCAACAAAUAGGGCGAGAUUGUGCUUGGUUUCCAUGGAGAUGUUCAGCGAGUGUGCCAUUGGAGAUGUAUUCGUAUACUAGGAGUAACUCUCUGCUAUGUCUUGUUGUGCAUCCGUAUAGAAUCACUAGGUUCGGGUGUUUUAGGGAUUUCAAGAUAUCGAUUUCGUUCUUGAAUUGUUCCACGCGUUUUAGUGAUCUUUCGAAGAGUCGUUUCACAGCUACUGCUCGUCCGUCUUUUAGUGUACCGUAGUAGACAGUACCGAAGCCUCCAUCUCCGAGUUCUUUGGAGAAAUUUUCAGUGGCUUCCUCGAGUUCUUCGUAGCUGAAGACUUGAAUUCCAGAGUAGACGCUUCCGUUUCCAAGGUUAGAUAUUGAAGGUACAAGAGAGUGAUUGCUGCCAGAGAUUGUUGUGGAGGUUGGAGUGUUUGACAUUGUAUAAUUGCUUGAGUAAGGUGUUGUUGUUGAUAGGCCUUUGUUUGUGUAUUGUGUUGCUAGUUUCUUCCUUCUCCGGAUGAAGAUACAGAGUAAACAUCCGCCGAUAAGUGUGGCACCCAAGAAUCCAGAAGCGAAUCCGAUGCCUAGAGAUAAACGGAAAGACAAGAUGUUCGUAUUAUGAUGCGGUUACGUAGGUAUGUUCUACUGAAAUUAGUUUCCUUGAAAGGAAAAAGGAUGGACACAUACCUAUUUUCCCUUUUUUGGAGAGACCUGCAUGAGCUACCAUGAGAAUAAUAUCAGUUAAAAUUUAAGACAGAAUUUUAGAAUGGUGCAUAAAACAUAGUUUGAAAGUCAAGAGAGUUUCUGAGGAAGAUAAGAGAUCUGGUUCUUAUGGAAGGACAUUAGCCAAUUAGAUUCAGAGACGAAUUUAGGAUCAGAUUAACUUAGGUCAGCUAAAGUAUUCAGUAAAGCAGAUAAAGAUGAAUCAUUACUCUUCUUUACUAUUUCAGAAUAGCAAGUACUCUCGUGAGGCUCAUCCGCACAAUAGCAAACAAAUGCUUUCAAUCUCUGAUCAAAGCCACAAGCGCCCCCUGAUAUUGCGCAUUGGGAACAUUCAUUGUUGAAGCCAAGUUCGAAACCCUCAUCAAUAGCCUUCUUCAUAGCCUCCAGACUCUGAUUUUUCUCUACUGUCUUCAAGGCUGACCGAGAGACUGGAAUAUCGACCCCUUCGCACGAUGCACUCAAUGCAGCUAAGGUAGCUCUAUCCCCAGAAUGUGAAGAGGACGAGACAAAGUAACUUUUCCCACCGAUAUAAUCCUCACAGUUAAGCUGUUUAAUGUAAUCAUUGGGAUGUACAUCUACCGUUGAUUGGCAGUCGUGAUAAAAAGUUGACAGCUUGGUGUCGGGAGAAAAUGGAAGGACAUCAUGGUUGAUAGAUGCAUUCGCAGGAUGCUGAGGACAAAGAUUGUUGCGAUAAUCCAUUCUGGCUAGUCUUAUGAUUUCAAACUCAUAGUUCAUCUCAAGGAUUUGGAACUUAACUGUGGAUACAGUAAGCUCUGCAAAAUCUCCGCUGCAGUUGACCUCGAAAUCUGGGUGACCGCACUCUUUUCUCUCAGAUAUCCAAAAGGGAUAAUAGAGUUCUGACUGGUUUCCGCAUUUAAACCUAGGACUGCAGUGUUUGUGUUGCUCAUCAACAACUGAGAAAACACAAGAGGGGAUCACAAAGAGCAUCCAUAUGAUUGUAUUGGACCAAGAUUUUGUCAGAGACAGAGAAAGAUUGAUCAUGGUGAUCUCCUCUGUUUGUUUUUUUUUUUUUUCUUGGAGAUGAACAAGAAAAUGAAGACAAAGAAUAAGAGGUAAAAGACAGAUUAGGAAUUGGUGAAUUGUGUUUGUCUAAGUCAUAGUUUUAUAUGAGUUGAAAGAAAGAAAAUAUUAUUAAGGUUUCUUUUUUUCUUUGUUGUUUAUCUGAUAAUAUUUUCAAUGGGAAAUUUCUUUGGAAUUAGGUGGGUUAGGAGGACUUAGUCUUCGAAUAGACAAUCAAGAUAUUCAAUAAAAAAAAAAAAAUUUUGAGUGGUUGCUAUUAAAUAAUUAAUUUCUUUUAUGUUUGUAGGAUGACCUAAACAAGUGCCGGCACAAGAACUUUACUUGGAAAAGCCAGGCAAAGUAGAAAAGGAGAUAAAACUAGACUAUAGAAGAAAAUCUCCAAAGGGGUUAAAAAUCGACUAUGAAGAAAGACUUGACCGUUGUUGGCCCUUCUUUUACUCUCAACUUUCUUAUUCAGUUUCAGAUAAAUGUGAAGGCAUCAAAUGGUAUGUGGACAGAAUGAAGACUGGAACAAGAAAAAGAUUCUUUAGUAUUUACCUCGGAAACUGAACGAUGUUGAUAAAGAUGACAGAAUCUGGUAAGGAAGACUUCCAUACCCUGAAAAUGACUUAUUUGAAUUGAAAUUGUGUAUGUCUAGUUGCUGGAAACAGAUAAAGACUUUUUAGACCACUCAAGUUUCUACCUUCUCUCUUGAGCUCACUAGGGACUAAGGUAUAUCUUAACACUGCUAAAACUGACCGAGAGAUACUGGAAAAAAAGAAAACUGUGUGACUUGGUUAGAGACAUUGCAGAAAAUGGUUUUGUUUUGUAUAAUUUAGAACACCAAAGUAUGAGCUGCGGUUCUUGGUGAUUAGCAUGUUCUAUAUGCUUGGGGCUUACCAAUUUUUGCAACCUAGGGGAUAAUAGUUGUGGUAUGUGUCAUAGCAGAACUUAUAGAGGAUGUGGAUCGACAUGUCUAUUUUUGCCUGGUUGCACUGUGGUAAUACUGCCCAAAUUUGGCAAGUGGGAAAUGUAUAUGUUAUGCUUAUGAAAUUUGCUGAUAGUUCAGAAACAUACCACUAGAUCCAGAUGGCAUCAUUGGAGUGCAAUUGACUUCUGAUGACGAGUUUGUCUUGCAGCAAACCGGAGUUGCAACAUGGUAGGCGCAGAUUCCACCAUUGGUUUUACAUUCUUGACACGGUCUCUCAUCGAUGCUAAGUUUCACCUCAAAUCCUUUUUUAAGAACACUUUCCAAAUUGGUUACAUUCAAAGCUCCUUCCUCUGGAGCAUAACCUAUGGGAACAGUGAUGUUGAAAAUCCCACCACAGUGAUUGUGAUACAAAUCAUCCUGAUGUAUUGAGCCAACACCCUUAUUUGGACAUAUGAAUUUCGCAGGAUAGUGAAGACUAGGGUUGCAGAGGUAGUAAGCGGAGAGGGUCUUGUAGUCUGGCAAAAGCUCAAAAAGUUCAGGAGUCAACGUUGCUCCGCUGAAUGAAGCCGAGCAGAAUGGACCUGAAAAGUCUUGCCUUACUAAUUUAAGAGUACUAGUAGUGGUAUUUACUUCGAGAACACGGUACAUCAGACUUGAGAUGAUUAGAGAAGUCGAAUUUGUUUGUUUUUGGCAGUGAAGUCCUAAAGAUGGAUGACCACAAGGUUGGGGCCGAGCCACUCCCCAGAAAGGGAAACCGGCUGUGAGAUCCCCACAACGAAACAGAGUGUCACAUGGUUCUCGUUGACUUUGAGCACAAGGAAGAAAGUGAAUAUAGGAUAAGAAGAAGAGAAGGACCAGAAAAGAAUUAGGUUUUGAGAAUCUGAAGAGUACUGGAGAGAACAUGAUUGAUAUCUGGAAAGUAGUUUCUUUUUUGGUUUGUGUUUAAAGUAGAGUAGAUGAUAAAUGAUUAAACAAAAAAAAACCAAGUGGAGACAGAAAAGAGCUAGUGGAAUGGUCGAACCACGACUAAGUCAAUAUUGAGAAGGACAGAUACUCAUAGACUUGGAGAACUAAAUGACACGUCUUUGGUUAGUUGACUUUGGAAGACUUUUCUCGUUUUAUUUGUAAGUCAUUCACUGUGGAAAAUCUUGUUAACGUAUAAGAAAAACUAUUUCAGAGUUCAGAAAAAUCUUUCUUAGGAAGAAAAGUGAUAAAAUAGGGUUCGUAAUUGUAAUUUGUAAGGUUUGUUAUAUUGAAAUAGCAUUUUACGUUAG